rnacentral:rRNA from 1 species
UACGGGGGGUGCAAGCGUUGUUCGGAAUUACUGGGCGUAAAGGGCUCGUAGGUGGCCUACUAAGUCUGACGUGAAAUCCCUCAGCUUAACUGGGGAACUGCGUCCGAUACUGGAUGGCUUGAGUUUGGGAGAGGGAUGUGGAAUUCCAGGUGUAGCGGUGAAAUGCGUAGAUAUCUGGAGGAACACCGGUGGCGAAGGCGGCAUCCUGGACCAACACUGACGCUGAGGAGCGAAAGCCAGGGGAGCAAACGGG